UGCGUAACACGUGAGUCAUCUGCCUGAAAGUGGGGGAUAGCUCGCCGAAAGGCGAAUUAAUACCGCAUGUGCCCCGAAGCAAUUCGGGGCAAAGCCGGGGCAACCUGGCGCUUUUAGAUGAGCUCGCGGCCUAUCAGCUUGUUGGUAAGGUAACGGCCCACCAAGGCUAAGACGGGUAGCUGGUCUGAGAGGACGACCAGCCACACUGGAACUGAGACACGGUCCAGACACCUACGGGUGGCAGCAGUCGAGAAUUUUUCACAAUGGGCGAAAGCCUGAUGGAGCGACGCCGCGUGGGGGAUGAAUGGCUUCGGCCCGUAAACCCCUGUCAUUCGCGAACAAACCUCCGGCAUGAAUAGUGUCGGAGUUGAUGGUAGCGGAAGAGGAAGGGACGGCUAACUCUGUGCCAGCAGCCGCGGUAAUACAGAGGUCCCAAGCGUUGUUCGGAUUCACUGGGCGUAAAGGGUGCGUAGGUGGUCGGGUAAGUUUGAGGUGAAAGCUCCGGGCUCAACCCGGAAAUGGCCUUGAAUACUAUCCGGCUCGAGGGUUGGAGGGGGGACUGGAAUUCUCGGUGUAGCA
rnacentral:rRNA from 1 species